rnacentral:rRNA from 1 species
CGCGAGUAAAGUGGCGACCGGGUGAGUAACACGUGACUAACCUACCCUCCAGUGGGGAAUAACCUCGGGAAACCGGGGCUAAUACCGCAUAACGUCCGCGGGUGCAAUUCCUGCGGAUCAAAGGAGCAAUUCGCUGGAGGAGGGAGUCGCGGCUGAUUAGCUAGUUGGUGAGGUAACGGCCCACCAAGGCGAUGAUCAGUAGCCGGCCUGAGAGGGCGCACGGCCACACUGGAACUGAAACACGGUCCAGACUCCUACGGGAGGCAGCAGUGGGGAAUUUUGCGCAAUGGGGGAAACCCUGACGCAGCAACGCCGCGUGGAGGAUGAAGUCCCUUGGGACGUAAACUCCUUUCGACCGGGACGAAUCAUGACGGUACCGGUGGAAGAAGCCCCGGCUAACUCCGUGCCAGCAGCCGCGGUAAUACGGGGGGGGCGAGCGUUGUUCGGAAUUAUUGGGCGUAAAGGGCGCGUAGGCGGUGCGGUAAGUCUCCUGUGAAACCUCUGGGCUUAACUCAGAGCCUGCAGGGGAAACUGCCGUGCUGGAGUGUGGGAGAGGCGAGUGGAAUUCCCGGUGUAGCGGUGAAAUGCGUAGAUAUCGGGAGGAGCACCAGUGGCGAAGGCGGCUCGCUGGACCACAACUGACGCUGAGGCGCGAAAGCUAGGGGAGCAAACAGGAUUAGAUACCCUGGUAGUCCUAGCCUUAAACGAUG